AUCACGCAUUCCGUGCCCAAUUUCUGUCCCCGCACGGCGUCGGCCGACCGCCGAGCGUCGGAGGAUGGCGGCGGCGGCGGGGGACUCGUCGGAGCCGGACUCCGGAGUCGAAGCAUCGGCGCAGGAAGCUCCAGGUUGGUUGCAUAAGAGCACAGCUCGCUGAUAAAAGACCAGUACUGCAAAAGUUGCAAAUCAGAGUAUUACUGAACUUUGCUGACCGUACUACAAUAGAUCUGCUGGCUUUUGCCCCUCAAGAGGACUAGCUUGAUGGGAGACUAACCAAGUCCAAGAUUCCUUUCUCGCGGAUGGAUGGUCCUAGUUGAGUGGACCUUUUGGUGGGAAGCGGACAAACUAAAGCAGGAUAACUCAAGACAAGGAGAUCUUAGAGGAAAGUUUAACAUUAGAUCCAACCAUCAUGGAAACUCUACUUUGAGUCUGUCUAUGUCCUCUGCUUACUGCAUUUCUCCUGCGGUCUAUUCAAAUGAUUAUUCAAAUGUUUUUUAAUUCUCUGUUUUACACUUGUGCCCUUGUCAAAAUACUAAGUAGCAAGUUUGUUCUAAUAAUGUGUUUGGAAGUGGCCCUAAUUUUCUUCGAAAACAACAUUC